GAUAAACGCUGGCGGCGUGCAUAACACAUGCAAGUCGAACGAGUGGCGAACGGGUGAGUAACACGUGAGUAACCUGCCUUACACAAGGGGAUAGCCUCUGGAAACGGAGAAUAAUACCCUAUAGUGUAAGAUGGACUUGCGUCUGAUUAGCUAGUUGGUGAGAUAAAAGCUCACCAAGGCGACGAUCAGUAGCCGGCUUGAGAGAGUGUACGGCCACAUUGGGACUGAGACACGGCCCAAACGCCUACGGGAGGCAGCAGUGGGGAAUUUUGCACAAUGGGGGAAACCCUGAUGCAGCGACGCCGCGUGAUUUAGAAGGCCUUCGGGUUGUAAAGUACUUUCAGCGGGGAGGCGUUACCCGCAGAAGAAGCACCGGCUAACUCCGUGCCAGCAGCCGCGGUAAUUC
rnacentral:rRNA from 1 species